rnacentral:rRNA from 1 species
UACGUAGGCAGCGAGCGUUGUUCGGAUUUACUGGGCGUAAAGAGUGCGUAGGCGGUUUUCUAAGUUUGGUGUGAAAUCUCCCGGCUUAACUGGGAGGGUGCGCCGAAGACUGGAAGGCUUGAGUAUGGGAGAGGUAAGCGGAAUUCCUGGUGUAGCGGUGAAAUGCGUAGAUAUCAUCAGGAAUACCGGAGGCGAAGGCGGCUCACUGGGGGUCUUCUGACGCUGAGGAACGAAAGCCAGGGGAGCGAACGGG